CAUAUCGUCUUUUUGUUAGUGUCAAUUGUCAAGCAGUACACAUGACUAACAUUGAUGUCCCUUAUGAAAUAUACAGAGAGAAACAUAAAGAUGGCAGCAGAGGAUCCCAGUAAAGUCUGUGAAGAACAUCCUAUGACUGGGGGAGAUGGCCCCAACAGCUAUGCCAAGAACUCCAUUCUCCAGAAAGGAGUUUUGGAUGUGGCCAAAGAACUUAUAAGAAAGGCAAUUGCAGAAAAGCUUGACAUAGACAUCUUGUCAUCUUCCACCUCCUUCAAAAUUGCAGACCUGGGUUGCUCUGUUGGACCCAAUACAUUUUUCGCAGUUGAAAACAUAGUUGAAGCUGUGGAACUGAUGUACCAAGGGCAAGGGAUGAAUUCUCAAAUCCCUGAAUUUCAAGUAUUCUUUAAUGAUCAUACCUCAAAUGACUUUAACAUGCUCUUCAAGUCCCUCCCUCAGAACAGGCGAUACUAUGCAGCUGGUGUGCCGGGUUCUUUCUAUGCUCGGAUGAAGUAGUGAGGGCUUACAAAGCUCAAUAUGCCGAGGACAUGGAAUGCUUCCUGCAUGCUAGGGCGCAAGAAAUUGUGCAUGGAGGACUGAUGCUACUUACUCUUCCAGGCAGCCCCGAUCACUCUACUCAUUCUCAUUCUCUUGUGAGCUUGGAACUUCUUGGAUCUUGCCUCAUGGACUUGGUUAGAAAGGGAGUUGUUAGCGAAGAGAAGGUGGAUUCAUUUAACAUGCCUAUGUAUUCCAUGUCACCUCAAGAACUUGAAGUUGCUGUCAAACGAAAUGGAUGCUUUAGCAUAGACAUAAUGGCAGAGUUACCUCGUCCCUUGGUACACGACACUCUUUCAAUAUCCCAAAUGAUUGCUUCUCACAUAAGAGCUGGUAUGGAGGAGAUGAUAAAGAAGCAAUUUGGAGAAGAAAUCUUAGAUGAGCUUUUCGACUUGUACCGACAAAAAUGUGAACAAUCGAGAGAAACAUAAAGAUGGCAGCAGAGGAUACCAGUAAAGUCUGUGAAGCACAUCCUAUGACUGGUGGAGAUGGCCCCAACAGCUAUGCCAAGAACUCCACUUUCCAGAGAGGUGGUGUGGAUGCUGCCAAAGAACUUUUGAGCAAUGCAAUUGCAGAGAAGCUUGACAUACAAAUUUUUCCUUCCAACACUUUCGUGUGGUGGAUUUGGGUUGCUCUACUGGACCAAAUACAUUUCGGGCAGUUGAAAACAUUCUUGAAGCUGUGGAAGCCAAGUUCCAAAGUCAAGGGCUGAAUUCUCAAGUCCCUGAUUUUCAUGUUUUCUUCAAUGAUCAUACCUCAAAUGACUUUAACAUGCUCUUCAAAACCCUUCCUCAGAACAAGCGAUACUAUGCAGCUGGUGUGUCAGGUUCUUUCUAUGGCCGGUUAUUUCCUAAUGCUUCCAUUCACAUUGCUCACUCUUCUUAUGCCAUUCCAUGGCUUUCAAGAGUUCCGAAAGCAGUGAUGGAUAGUAGCAGUCCUGCUUGGAACAAAGGUCGAAUUCACUACUCAGAUUCCACAGAUGAAGUAAUAAGGGCUUAUGAAACUCAAUAUACUGAGGACAUGAAAUGCUUCCUGCAAGCUAGGGCACAUGAGAUUGUGUAUGGAGGACUAAUUGUACUCACCUUUCCAGGCCGCCUCGAUGGCACCCCACAUUCUGAUGCUCCUCCAAAUGUGAUCUUCCAACUUUUAGGAUCUUCCAUCCAGGACUUGGUCACAAAGGGAGUUGUUAGCAAAGAGAAAUUGGAUUCAUUUAACAUACCAACAUAUAACAUGUCACCCCAAGAACUAGUAGCUGUUGUAGAACGAAAUAAAUGCUUUAGCAUAGAGAAAAUGGUAGAUGUACCUCUUCCCUUGGUACAUG